GAAAUGCAGACCAAACCCAAGAAGCAUAUUUUGGAGUACUACAAAAGCAGUAUAAAUUUGGCCUACCUCAUCUCAAUUGUUUACUAAGUGUGUUGAUCCUUGGAUGCUCCUACGGGACAUCUUGUUGGACUUGUGUCCGUUUAUGUUCUAGUACACUUUCUCAUGCUGCCAGAUUCAUGCAUUAGAGAAGAGGCAGAAGGCUGCUAAAUAUGCAAAGAAAGUAAAAGCCAAGAAGAGGAGGAAGAUACAUGAGCUAUCAAAUCCCCUGGAGCCUAAUGAGUUUGCUGAUACGCGGAAGGAGGAAUAAUGAAUCAGUCAGCCAUGUGUGGAUCACGGUAUUCUUAUCGCCUUGAGUUUUCUUGUUAUUUUUUUUCGUUAAAUCACCUUGAUUCCAACAUGAGAUGGAAGGUUUUGUUAUGUUAUCAUUUAUUAAAGCCCUUUUUUGACUCUAAAGUUGUGUCUGUGGUAGUGUGAUCAGUGAUGGAUUAGUGUGUGUUUUAAUUUCCUACAGCAAUGCUCCUCAUAUCUAUAACUUCGUUAUUUGUGGUGUAAAUUAGAACAUUGGUCCCUGUAGCUUUGGUGGGAUUUCCAUUUGAAUCCUUUCUUAUCAAUUCAUCUAUUUGUGGUGUAAAGUUUGAUCAAAUAUGGAUAAGCUCGUGAACAAGUUGCAUUUUGUCUGGUAAA